GAUGAACGCUGGCGGCGUGCCUAAUACAUGCAAGUCGAGCGAACGGACGAGAAGCUUGCUUCUCUGAUGUUAGCGGCGGACGGGUGAGUAACACGUGGAUAACCUACCUAUAGGACUGGGAUAACUUCGGGAAACCGGAGCUAAUACCGGAUAAUAUUUUGAACCGCAUGGUUCAAAAGUGAAAGACGGUCUUGCUGUCACUUAUAGAUGGAUCCGCGCUGCAUUAGCUAGUUGGUAAGGUAACGGCUUACCAAGGCAACGAUGCAUAGCCGACCUGAGAGGGUGAUCGGCCACACUGGAACUGAGACACGGUCCAGACUCCUACGGGAGGCAGCAGUAGGGAAUCUUCCGCAAUGGGCGAAAGCCUGACGGAGCAACGCCGCGUGAGUGAUGAAGGUCUUCGGAUCGUAAAACUCUGUUAUUAGGGAAGAACAUAUGUGUAAGUAACUGUGCACAUCUUGACGGUACCUAAUCAGAAAGCCACGGCUAACUACGUG
rnacentral:rRNA from 1 species